UACGAGGAUCUGACACUCUGUUCUGGCUGU
rnacentral:piRNA from 1 species